CGCGUGUACUGGUCCGGCCGGGCCUUUCCCUCUGUGGAACCCCAUGCCCUUCACUGGGUGUGGCGGGGAAACAGGACUUUUACUGUGAAAAAAUUAGAGUGCUCCAGGCAGGCCUAUGCUCUAAUACAUUAUCAUGGAAUAAUAGAAUAGGACGUGUGGUUCUAUUUUGUUGGUUUCUAGGACCGCCGUAAUGAUUAAUAGGGACAGUCGGGGGCAUCAGUAUUCAAUUGUCAGAGGUGAAAUUCUUGGAUUUAUUGAAGACUAACUACUGCGAAAGCAUUUGCCAAGGAUGUUUUCAUUAAUCACGAACGAAAGUUAGGGGAUCGAAAACAAUAAGAUACCGUCGUAUUCUUAACCAUAAAAUAUGCCGACAAGGGAUCGGACGGUGUUAUUUUUUGACCCGUUCGGCACCUUACGAGAAAUCAAAGUGCUUGGGCUCCAGGGGGAGUAUGGUCGCAAGGCUGAAACUUAAAGAAAUUGACGGAAGGGCACCACCCAGGGGUGGAGCCUGCGGCUUAAUUUGACUCAACACGGGGAAACUCACCAGGUCCAGACACAAUGAGGAUUGACAGAUUGAGAGCUCUUUCUUGAUUUUGUGGGUGGUGGUGCAUGGCCGUUCUUAGUUGGUGGAGUGAUUUGUCUGCUUAAUUGCGAUAACGAACGAGACCUUAACCUGCUAAAUAGCCCGUAUUGCUUUGGCAGUACGCUGGCUUCUUAGAGGGACUAUCGG
rnacentral:rRNA from 1 species